rnacentral:rRNA from 1 species
UGCCAGCCGCCGCGGUAAUACGUAGGGUGCAAGCGUUAAUCGGAAUUACUGGGCGUCACGCGUGCGCAGGCGGUUAUAUAAGACAGAUGUGAAAUCCCCGGGCUCAACCUGGGAACUGCAUUUGUGACUGUAUAGCUAGAGUACGGCAGAGGGGGAUGGAAUUCCGCGUGUAGCAGUGAAAUGCGUAGAUAUGCGGAGGAACACCGAUGGCGAAGGCAAUCCCCUGGGCCUGUACUGACGCUCAUGCACGAAAGCGUGGGGAGCAAACAGGAUUAGAUACCCUGGUAGUCCACGCCCUAAACGAUGGCAACUGGGUGUUGGGUCUUCACUGACUCAGUAACGAAGCUAACGCGUGAAGUUGACCGCCUGGGGAGUACGGCCGCAAGGUUGAAACUUAAAGAAAUUGACGG